AGUUUGCUGUUGGGUCGCAAAUGUAUACUGGAUUUAUGACAUACCCUCACCGUUUAUGUAAAUGUUGCUAUGCAGUGGUACGUUAAAGAUUCUCCACUUCUGGACAAUGCGUAACACUGCCUAAACUUUAUGCUUCACAGUCAAUGUAUUCCAUACUGUCAUUAUAAUGUUGCCUAUGUUUUGUUUAAUUGACAUUUUAAUUCUAAAACUAUAAUACAUCGUACCAGCAUAUUUUCAUAAGUAGUGACACCACAGGAUACAAUCCAAGCGAAGUUAUGCAUCGUUCUUUAUUGCUGACAUACCAAAAACUCAAACACAAAUACAUAAAAUAAUAUGUUGUUGCAUUUUAAAACUAAUUUAUCUGUAAUGGUUAUACAUCAUUGGUGUGCGUGAAGACGGCUUGAGAUCUAUCUUUCAGUUUUUUUUCCGUCGAUUGAUCGACCAUUACUGUUUUUCUGCGAUUCUUGAGCAUCGUUGAGGAUUUACUGGAUGGACCGGAUAACGGAUGGACCAUACGUCGCCCAUGAAACCAUCGACCAUCAAAGCUUCUGUGUAAAACAGGACUGCGAAAUGCCGGAACAAUGAUUCGGAACCUGUUUGCUGUACGAAUUUAGACCCCAUUCCAUACAUGAGUCCUUCGUAGCAAUAUAGACUUUGGAGCUGAUAGCAAAAUGCGAACUUCCCAACACAGACCGAACCAGACAUCGUAAUUGAAUAAUGGCUAAAGAAGUGCAAAUAUAAAUUUAAAAUGCAAAAAUAAA